AUGAGAAUUCACCAUACAAACUUGGUUUCUCUAAUUGGGUAUUGCGAUGAAGGUGACACUGUGGCACUUGUUUAUGAAUAAGUGGCCAAUGGAAAUUUGCAACACCAUAUAUUUUCUGCAGGUACAAUACUCAUAUAUUAAUAUUAAUAUAUUUUGGACUUAAUUAUUGCAAUGGUCUCUAAACUUGUACACCUGAGUUGUAUUUUCGUCCAUGAUAUCCAAAAAUAGCUACAACCACCAUCCACUAAUUAGUCUAGUAUUGCAUGACUGGUAUAGUUGCUCCUUUUUCUCUUUAAUUUUAAAGAAAUACAUAAUAAUUUUUAAUAGUAAGUUUUGGUAUAAUCGUAAACGUGGUUGGAUGUAGAAAGUAAAUUCCUGGAUCAUGAAAAAUUGAGUGUCUAAAAAGUACUAUUUUUUGGGUUUUCAUAAAAUUUCCAAGUUUGUUAACAAUAAAAGUUUGGGUUUCCUUAACUAGUCCUUACAAUUAAAUUUUCUAUUCAUCAUUAUCAUUUGUCUCACAUAUACUGGACUUCAGGUGCCAAAUUUUAACAAUAGAUAUGAACAGUCAUGUGGUGGAAAGUGUAUGUUUGGUUUAUUUUCUCUCGUUUGUUUCCUUUGUAAAUUGCAUUAUUACUGAUAAUACACUCUUGGAUUGGAUGUGUGCAGAUAUAACUAAAAAGGUUUUGACUUGGAAAGAGAGACUUUUAACUAAAAAGGUUAUACACCCGCAAGCGGUAAAGUACUAGUAGUUGUAUGAAUAGUAAGGAUACAAUGUGUGAGGAAGAAAGUAAAGCUUGGCUCCUUAAAAUUAAGAGGAGCUCCUCCUUUCCACCAAUAAUUAAAAAAAAACAGUUUACAUUCAGAAUCACGAUAAAAAGAACAAAAUAACACGGCUACUGAUAUUUUCAGGAUUGGAUUACCCUCACACUGGUUGCAAGCUGCAGAUUGUACACAGAGACCUAAAGACAUCUAAUAUCUUGGAUUACCUUCACACUGCUUGA
rnacentral:lncRNA from 1 species